GAUGAACGCUGGCGGCGUGCCUAAUACAUGCAAGUCGAGCGAACAGAUAAGGAGCUUGCUCCUUUGACGUUAGCGGCGGACGGGUGAGUAACACGUGGGUAACCUACCUAUAAGACUGGGAUAACUUCGGGAAACCGGAGCUAAUACUGGAUAAUAUUUCGAACCGCAUGGUUCGAUAGUGAAAGAUGGUUUUGCUAUCACUUAUAGAUGGACCCGCGCCGUAUUAGCUAGUUGGUAAGGUAACGGCUUACCAAGGCGACGAUAGGUAGACGACCUGAGAGACGGCUCGCCCACACUAGAACUGAGACACGGUCCAGAGGCCUACGGGAGGCACCAGUAGGGAACCUUCCGCAAUGGGCGCAAGCCUGGCGCAGCGGCCCCGCGCGAGUGAUGAAGAUCCUGGGAUCGUAAAGCUGUGUUAUUAGGGAAGAACAUACGUGUCAGGAACUGUGCACGUCUUGACGGUACCUGGUCAAGAAGCAACGGCUAACUACGUG
rnacentral:rRNA from 1 species